UGAGUACGAGAUGCUACGGCAUCGAAGCAGUCUAUGUCAUACUUCCAAGAAAAGCUUGCACUGUCAGAAACAGAUAAUGCCUGUACCAUAACCGACACAGGUGGGUAGGUAGAGUAUACUAAGGGGCGCGAGAUAACUCUCUCUAAGGAACUCGGCAAAAUGACUCCGUAACUUCGGGAGAAGGAGUGCCUUAUUUUUAAGGUUGCAAUAACAAGAUCCAAGCAACUGUUUACCAAAAACACAGGUCUCCGCUAGGUCGUAAGACGAUGUAUGGGGGCUGACGCCUGCCCAGUGCCAGAAGGUUAAAGAAGUCGGUUAGCAUUCGCGAAGCUGGUAACUGAAGCCCUGGUGAACGGCGGCCGUAACUAUAACGGUCCUAAGGUAGCGAAAUUCCUUGUCGGGUAAGUUCCGACCCGCACGAAAGGCGUAAUGAUUUGGAUACUGUCUCGGAGAGGGGCUCGGUGAAAUAGACUUGUCUGUGAAGAUGCGGACUACCUGCACCUGGACAGAAAGACCCUAUGAAGCUUUACUGUAACUUGAAAUUGAAAUUGGACUUUAUUUGCGCAGUAUAGGUGGGAGGCGUUGAAAAUAUUCUUGCGGGAAUAUUGGAGCCAUCAGUGAGAUACCACUCUUGUAAUGUUAGAUUUCUAACUUUAUAUCAUUAUCUGGUUAAAGAACAGUUUCAGGCGGGCAGUUUGACUGGGGCGGUCGCCUCCCAAAUGGUAACGGAGGCGCACAAAGGUUUCCUCUGAACGGGUAGAAAUCGUAUCUAGAGUGUAAAGGCAUAAGGAAGCUUGACUGUGAGACCUACAAGUCGAGCAGGGACGAAAGUCGGUCUUAGUGAUCUGACGGUGCUGAGUGGAAAGGCCGUCACUCAACGGAUAAAAGUUACUCUAGGAUAACAGGCUGAUCUCCCCCAAGAGUUCACAUCGACGGGGAGGUUUGGCACCUCGAUGUCGGCUCAUCGCAUCCUGGGGCGGUAGUACGUCCCAAGGGUUGGGCUGUUCGCCCAUGAAAGCGGUACGCGAGCUGGGUUCAGAACGUCGUGAGACAGUUCGGUCCAUAUCCGGUGUAGGCGUUAGAAGAUUGAGAGGAGCCUUCUUUAGUACGAGAGGACCGAGAAGGACAUACCUCUGGUGUACCAGUUAUCGUGCCAACGGUAAACGCUGGGUAGCUAUGUAUGGAGUGGAUAACCGCUGAAAGCAUCUAAGUGGGAAGCCCACCUCAAGAUAAGUAUUCUCA
rnacentral:rRNA from 1 species